GUUUGCAACUACGUGUCCCAGACUGCAUCCCUGCUGAGAGUCCCUCCCUCCCUUCUCAUGUUGCAGGAAGAACGUAAGCGCCCCCCCUUGUCAAUCAGUCACCAUAUAAUUUUGGAUUGGUUGUUGUGGUGAAGUUUUCCACCAAUAGGAGAGAUGUUGUGGUGUGUUUUUUUUUUUUUUGGCAAGCCUUUUCCGCCUGUAAGAACUGUCGCUAAUGUCUGCAUGCUAUGUUUUCCUGUCUCAUACAGCGCGAUCGAGCGCCGAACGUGAUCAAAAUAAGCAGAAAAAAAUAUCGCGGACAUAAUUUAUCAUAACUCUGGUUUUAUUUGGCCUAUCAACACAAUUUAAAAACUGGUAUAUAGGUUGAGGUCCUCACUUUUGAGAUAAGUUGAAACGGAGAGUCAACGAGGCUCCGUCUUGCAGCUACAUCCGGUUAAAUAUGUCAUGUGACUUGAACGCACACACACACACACACACACACACACACACACACACACACACACACACACACACUCAGAGUCUGGUUUUUAGCACCUGCAAAAACAUGCUAUUUACAUAUUUGACAAGAAUGCAGAGGCUCCUUUUGCCCCUGAAAAAAAUCAAAUUUCAAACACAACUUGACUGGUCAUUUCUCCAAAAGACAACCAUGAAGCUCCAUCCAAACCUGAAGCAGGCAGUUGGUGCAUGUGUACAGUAACCUGAGGGGAGUGAGGUGAGUGCUUCUGAGGAGAACAUGAGCAGUGAAGAUUCACCUUGGAGCUAGAACAGAGACAUGCACAUGAUUAUACAGGGGCAGGGGCUCAAGUUUUUUCCAGUCGUUUAUACAAUAUGGAAAUUAAUGUGAAAUUAAAACACAAAGUAUUAAUAGAAAGGUAAUGACUGUCCUGUGUAGGUGACAGUGAUAUCCAAUAGGCUAGGCACUCACGAGGCUGGCUGUGGCAAGUGUAAGUGAAAGCAACACGCACUGGCAGGAAGAACAGCAAACGCCGAUGAAGGAAAAGGGUCUUUGCAGUGAUGGGCGUUACCAGAGAGGGCGAUGGCCAGAGGACACAAAUGGGACGGGGAGGCAGCACGUUGGGGGGGGGGGGGGGGACGCGACACGGCUCGGGCCCGCCAGUGCCCCAACGGGGUCCUAGUUAUUAUUAUUAUUUUUCCUCCGCUUUAAACUGGAAAAUGGCCCACUUCCCACUGGCGAAAACUCAUGAAAUUUGGCAGGACGACCGGGCCUGGUGAAAAAUUCGAUAUUCUGAAGUCGCCCAAACAAUAAAAUGCAAAAUGGCUCCAUAGCGCCCCCUAAGGUGAAAAUUCACACUAUUGACUGUCACGCCUUUACGCUUUGUCAUAUUGACACAAAAAUUGACACACACAUGUAUCUCAAUAAGAUCUACAAAAAAGUCAGUGCGGGCGUAUCUGUCAAAUGUACGGUUAAAGGGUUAUUUCGCAUUUUUUGCCGAUCCGCACACAUUGGAAUUUCGCUAACUCCUCCGAAGGCUUUCGUUCCAACGGCACCACAUUUGCUCAGGCCAAUCUACACCCCAUGGCCAUUAAAAGUUGUACAAAUCAUGACGCUGCACCCCACGGUUUACGUUCUAGGGGGCGCCAAAGAUAACCCAAAAAUCCACAGUCUUAAAAGUCUUAUAACUUUUUAUUUUUGUCCUCACUGGCCUCCAAGUUCUCUAGGAUGAUGCAAUGUCCAGCCAUCAACACAUUUGUGAAGGAAUUUUUACUCCCCAAAAGAGCGCCCCCCAAUGGCAGGAGAAAAAAGUCCAUUUUUUCUUGUCUCCUAAGGCGAAAAUACACAUUGUUGACUGUCACGCCUUUACGCUUUGUCAAAAUGACACAAAAAUUGACACACACAUGUAUCUCAAUACGAUCUACGAAAAAGUCAAUGCGAGCGUAUCUGUUCAAUGUACGAUUAAAGGGCUAUUUCGCAUUUUUUGCCGAUUCGCACACAUUGGAAUGUGGCUAACUCCUCCUAAAGCUUUUGUCCCAUCGGCUUCAAAUUUGCUCAGGUCAAUCUACACCCCAUGGCCAUUUAAAGUUGUACAAAUCAUGACGCUGCACCCCACGGUUUACGUUCUAGGGGGCGCCAAAGAGGACCCAAAUAUCCACAUUUUUAAAAGUCUUAUAACUUUUUAUUUUUGUCCUCACUGGCCUCCAAGUUUUCUAGGAAUGCAAUGUCCAGCCAUCAACACAUUUGUGAAGGAAUUUUUUCUCCCCAAAAGAGCGCCCCCCCAUGGCAGGAGAAAAAGUCAAGUUUUUCCUGCCCA